GGUUCUUCCAGGUUUUCUUUCGUAGACGAAACCUGCAAAUAAAUAAUGGAGAAAACAGUAAGUUUUUGUCUGCUCGUAACCGCUUAGCAGUGCCACAGAAUUAAAAAUUGAUUUUUACUAUGGGCUAGGUUUAUCAGGUAUGAUUUUAACAUUCUGAAAUAAACCUGACAGCAAGGUAUCGCCAUUGACUGGUAGUAACCAAAUGGCAUCAACCAAAGAAAACAAGCCUGUGUAUGCUUGUUCAGUGUAAGAAAUAUAAAAGGACCUGGAGGAAGAUAGCAGUUUCUCAUGCAGUACAAGCAGAAUAUUCCCAAAGGCUUCCAACAGUUAUCCCUGCCUUUUUUUUUUUGAAGUGAUUGUGGAAGAAGCAUGGAGAAGGAGGAGGAUAAGAGCACUGAUAUAUGGUUUAUGUACUUAGCUCUACUGCAUCAAUACAGUCACUAGAUAAAAUAAAUAAGCUUUGGAUACUGGUAAAUAAUGACACGAACAACUAAAAUUAGAUUGAACGAAGUAAAAAAUUA